UCGGGAAUUUUGGGCAAUGGGCGAAAGCCUGAUCCAGCCAUGCCGCGUGUGUGAAGAAGGUCUUCGGAUUGUAAAGCACUUUAAGUUGGGAGGAAGGGCAGUUACCUAAUACGUGAUUGUUUUGACGUUACCGACAGAAUAAGCACCGGCUAACUCUGUGCCAGCAGCCGCGGUAAUACAGAGGGUGCAAGCGUUAAUCGGAAUUACUGGGCGUAAAGCGCGCGUAGGUGGUUAGUUAAGUUGGAUGUGAAAUCCCCGGGCUCAACCUGGGAACUGCAUUCAAAACUGACAAGCUAGAGUACGGUAGAGGGUGGUGGAAUUUCCUGUGUAGCGGUGAAAUGCGUAGAUAUAGGAAGGAACACCAGUGGCGAAGGCGACCACCUGGACUGAUACUGACACUGAGGUGCGAAAGCGUGGGGAGCAAACAGGAUUAGAUACCCCCGUAGUCCCUGAGCGGGCUGGCAAGGCGCAU
rnacentral:rRNA from 1 species